UACGUAGGGGGCAAGCGUUGUCCGGAAUUAUUGGGCGUAAAGAGCGCGUAGGCGGUCCGAUAAGUCGGCUGUGAAAGUCAGGGGCUCAACCCUUGAAAGCCGGCCGAUACUGUCGGGCUAGAGUCCGGAAGAGGCAAGUGGAAUUCCUGGUGUAGCGGUGAAAUGCGCAGAUAUCAGGAGGAACACCAAUGGCGAAGGCAGCUCACUGGGACGUUACUGACGCUGAGACGCGAAAGCCAGGGGAGCAAACGGG
rnacentral:rRNA from 1 species